rnacentral:rRNA from 1 species
GAUGAACGCUAGCGGCAGGCCUAAUACAUGCAAGUCGAGGGGUAGAAGAGGCUUGCUUCUUUGAGACCGGCGCACGGGUGCGUAACGCGUAUGCAACCUACCUUCAUCUGGGGGAUAGCCCGGAGAAAUCCGGAUUAAUACCGCAUAAAAUCACAGGAUGGCAUUAUCCAAUGAUCAAACAUUUAUGGGAUGGAGAUGGGCAUGCGUGUCGGUAGCUAGUUGGCGGGGUAACGGCCCACCAAGGCGACGAUGACUAGGGGAUCUGAGAGGAUGCCACCCGACACUGGUACUGGGAAACGGACCAGACGCGUACGGGAGGCAGCAGUAAGGAAAAUUGGUCAAUGGAGGCAAUGCUGAACGAGCCAUGCCGCGUGCAGGAAAACUGCCUUAUGGGUUGUAAACUGCUUUUAUUCGGAAAUAAACCUUAUUACGUGUAAUAAGCGGAAUGUACCGAAGGAAUAAGGAUCGGCUAACUCCGUGCCAGCAGCCGCCGUAA